rnacentral:rRNA from 1 species
UGAUACGUAGGGGGCGAGCGUUGUCCGGAAUUAUUGGGCGUAAAGAGCGCGUAGGCGGGUAUGUAAGUCGGCUAUGAAAUCUCCAGGCUCAACUUGGAGGCGUUGGUCGAAACUAUAUAUCUUGAGUACGGGAGAGGGAAGUGGAAUUCCUAGUGUAGCGGUGGAAUGCGUAGAUAUUAGGAAGAACACCGGUGGCGAAGGCGGCUUCCUGGCCCGAUACUGACGCUGAGGCGCGAAAGCUAGGGGAGCGAAUGGGAUUAGAUACCCCAGUAGUCCUAGCCGUAAACGAUGGACACUAGGUGUAGGAGGUAUCGACCCCUCCUGUGCCGCAGCUAACGCAAUAAGUGUCCCGCCUGGGGAGUACGGCCGCAAGGCUA